UCACGGUUGUCAGGUGCCAUGCCGAAAGUUAUAUGAAAUGAAAGGAAGCACCGGCGAUACUCCAAUUCGAAAUCCUGGACGUUGCGUGUUCCUUUGUGGGAUCAAUGGAGUAGACAAGUUCAGUUUCUCUGCGUUUUUCGAUUGGUUACCUUAGUGGAGUGAUGCUGUGUCGUUAAAAUCUGUGGAGGUAUAAUGAUUACGGUGUUGGUUCAAGGUGAAUUCACUGCGCGUUUCCGAGUGUGUGUGUGUGUGUGUGUCUGUGCCCAACAGUGCUUGUCGGUGAAGGUGUGAUGCGAGUCUCUCGAGUUCAAGGCUGGUGGUGAUCAUUCUCGUCGUUCCGUUGAACUUAUAAAACGGAUCUCAGGAAAAUGGUCAGCUUUAAGAAUUGCAACAACACGACAAGUGAGGAGUCCACGCCGCAUCGCCAUCAUCCGGGGACGCUGCGAAGCUCCGUCAACUCCCGGAAGUACCAUCAAGGUCAUCAGCAUCGAAAUGAACCUUCUCUACACGUCUUACCAUCACGCCCGUCGACUCACUCGUCGUCAACGUCGCGCGUCUGCGCUCUCCACUCCAGGCUGGACCAGCCGGUGACGAGUUCAACGCCCGACAUGGACAACAAAAAGGUUGUCCAAGGCGCCGCUUCGCCAGCGCUGGUCCAGAUGCGCCGUAAAAGCGGCGGCGGUGGCGAUGGAUCAGGAAUCGCGGGCUCCGGAAUUCGCCGACGGAGUGGGCCUCAAGGGUUGCGCUCACCCGCUGCAAAGAGGCCCCUUUCGGCCCCGGUAGCCCUUCAGGGCUGGCUGCACAAACAGGGCUCCGAGGGUCUCAUGCUCUGGAAGAAGCGCUGGUUUGUUCUCUCCGAGUACUGCCUCUUCUACUACAAGGGUCCCGAGGAAGAGAAAUUACUUGGCUCGAUACUUCUGCCGUCGUACCGGGUGACGGCGUGCAGGCCGGAGGACAAAGCGAACAAGAAGUUCGCCUUCAAGGCGGAGCACGCGAAUAUGAGGACAUACCUCUUCGCCGCAGACUCGAGGGAGAGCAUGAACCAAUGGGUGAACGCGCUGACACUGGCAACCUUGCUCCAGGACCCAAACCCGGGCGGAGGCGAUAUGGCGAUAGCCUUGGAAUUGGCGGGUCCAGCAGAUGGCGAGCGAAGCGCGCGUCCGAGCGUCUCCUCGAUAUCCUCUAUCCUGAACCAGAGCGCGGACGACAGUGACAGCGGUUUCCACGGUUUCCAGUCGCGGGAUGACCCGAGCCACGCCUCGAACAACAACUCGAGUCCAAACAGCGUGAACACCGCGUCCUUCGCGACCUUGAACAACGUCCACGAGGUCCAAACGCAACCCGUUCAGCCGGUGAUAAACGGGUGGAUGCAGCAGUCCCCGCAGUACUCGCAGCCCGGGACUUCUCAGCAACAACAACAACAGCAGCCAGGGGCCUAUACCCCGUUACCGGGGCCCUCGCACCAGCACAAGCAGCAGCAGCACCAGCAGCAAGGCCCGCAGCCAGGGCCCAGCAACGUGCAGACGGUUCAACCGAUGCCCCGGAACUUUGGCCAGCCGCUUUACGCCAACGCACCCCCGAAGCCGCGCCGACUGACGGAGGGAUCUAACGAGUACUCGACACCCUCGCCGGACCUCGACGCCCUGCAUCCCGAUUGUCGUAAGUCCCCCGUCUCUCCCGACGUACGCGCCGCCACCAAGAGUCCUGGGUCCGAGUACGAGAGGGGCAGCGUCGUUUACGUUACGCGGAUGUCCCAGCCACCCCAGACCCUCAGGACCGACAAGUCGGGACUCAACUACGGUUAUGCCUCCGCUCAGUCCCAGCCUACCGAGAGACGUACACCCGACACCUACGGUAGGAGCGCCAAGCCAAGGUCAUCCAGGGGGAACGGCGACUACGAGGACGUCUACGGCGCUCCACAGCUUUAUCAGAGACCAGCGGGUCCCGUUGGAUACACCAAGGGACCCGCCCCGGCACCCAUACCGAUUCCCGUUUACGCCCAACAAAGUCCACCCCAGCAUCCGCAGAUGUAUGCCGUUCUUCCUACGCAAGCCGCUCCUGUAAUGAGACAGCCCAGGGCGCAACCCCCGCCUCGGCCGCACAGCGCUGACUUCUUGGAAUACGAAGCGACGCGGAGGCCUCAGCAACAGCCUCACGUUCAACCGGGUAUCGUUACGGCCCAGCAACGCCGACCUCAGCGACCCAAAUCGAGUCUCGAUGUCGUCAACCCGUCAGACGCGCCGACUAAUGACGGAUACUUUUACUCCGAGGAAAGAAACGCGAAUGAAUAUUCAAGGUACGCCGCCCAGAUGCGCCAGUCCGCCGUUUACUUGCAUCAGACGCCUCAGCAUCACCAGCAGCAACGUAAUCAGUCCUUAUCGCGCGCCACUACGCCAUCCAAACCCACCUCCUCGAGAGAACGGGACGCCGAAUCCAGCGUAGGCAGCAUAAGCGAAACUUCCAGCUUGGCCCUCAGACGAUCUCAGAGGGAUCAGAGUUCCGCCUUGCAGCAGCAACAGCAGCACCACCAUCACCUUAUCUCGUCUCAUUCCCUUCAACGUCACUCUGAAAUAGCAAGCGAGUCACUGGUGAGACGAUCGCUCCGAGAGCGAAGUUACGAGCAGGCAGUUCCCUCCGGCAGGGAACUUUUGCUCGGCGGUGUUCCGGGUGAAGGGGCCACUGUGCCUCGACGAAUACAACGCGAUUCUCGUACCGAGUACGACACGUCAACCGGUGGGAGGGCCAGGCGGUGGAACGAGCAGCAGUUUGCCAGGUCAGCAUCGGCUCGUCUGCCCCGCACACGGCAUCAGGUAGACCGAGACGAAGACGAUUACGCGGAGCGAUCGUCGGGACAGGAUUCACGCGAUGGGGAGCGGAAGAUCCAACAGAGAGAAGAGUCAAUGAAGCGACUACUCGAAUGGAAACAGCGAAUGCUGCAGAGUCCGUUAACGAGGAAACCCGCUAGCUCUGGAAGUCGUGUACAGGGAAUUGCCCAGAAUGAACUGUCGAGCUAUUACAAACAGCAGGCUUUCCUCGAACUCGCUGCCCACGAAGCAAGCCUCGCCGAGGCUCGGCAAGCCAGGAGACGGGACGAUGGACAUCGGACUCAUCCUCGGAGCAAAAGCACUGACGGCAGACGAUCCGUCACCAACAACGUUUCCCGGUACAACAGUUAUUCCAGCGACGACGAAGAGUUGGGCAACGUGAGGCACAAGCGAACCCGUAGACCCUCCCACGCUGGCAGGAGCCCCCGGCAGGUUCUGGACGAGCGGACGUUGUCGUCUGCUGCCUCUUCUUCCGCAACCUCGAUCACCACCACAACCACCAGCACCGCCAUGAUCACGACAGCCGCAACAAGCGCCGCCUUGAAUUAUCCGACGAGAGUGAGCGCGAACGGCGAAACCGUUUCCUCGCCAAUUCAUCCGUCGGCGUUCCCUCCCCAGUAUGAGAACAGCCGACAUAAAAACGCGUCCCGGGGGAGCCGUCAGCCUUGCGGUAUCCCGCCUGACGCCGGAUACGGGGAAAUCGGCUUCUCGCCGUCGUCCUACGAGGCUAUAAACAACCCGAGAUCGACGGUGAGGAGAUCGACCCGGAAGGAAUCCGGGCCGGAAGUUGGCACCGGGGUGGAUCCCAAGUGGCAGCAUAAUGAAACGCCGAAGAAACCUACAGGGAUUCUGAAACAGACGAGCGCCCUUUGCCACCCUCCGUGCAAUGACCAAUCGAGCAACUCCGAGGGGAGGCUCAGCACUCUUGCCGGUUACAUACCCAACGACACUUGGCACGGGCACAAGAACGUCCAGUGGAACUCUACGAGAGGUGAUAAGGAUGACUGGGAGACGAAAAUUGACGAGGCCAAAGUAAUCAAGGAAUUCUCUUAUCAGUACAUCAAACCUGAGCAAAACCCCCAGGACUCAACGCCGCCCGAUGUACAGGCCGUAAAUCUCGUUCAGUCCAGGAUCAAGUCCUUCGAGUCAAGCCUGGAUGAAACACCAGGGUCGCUGCUCGCCAUGCAGGAGCCUCUCAAAGUUUCUCCGCCCCAGGCAACGGAGGCUCACGUUUCACGACUCGAUCCGACACGGAACACGACCGUCAUCCGCGACUUUGCACUGGGCGAUUCGAGCCGGGAGACCAAAGAUUCCGUCGGCGUUGAGGAGGAAGCCUCCACGGACGAUGGAAACAAGUCGGUGAAGGACCUCCUUGCCGAUUUCGAGCGGAAAUCGCAGCAGGCUCAGAAACAGGAGAAUGACAAGAACGAGGAGUAUAAACAGCAGCAGAAUCGCGGGGUGUUGAGCGACACCGAAACUCUCCUUUACGAAACGGGUAGCGACCUCGAUCAGCCGAGUAAAAAUGUCGCGGAGGAAGACGAGAACCGGGAAAUCCAGAGGUCGGUGAACGUCGAGGAGAAUUUUACGGGGACGAUAAGGAGGAGAAAGGACCUCGGUGACAAGAGCAGGAAAGUCAAGGAUUCGAAGGCUGGCUCGGAGAACGAGGCGGAAGCUGCAAACACCCAGGAAAUUUCCAACCCCUGUUACACGCGGCUGAGCGUUACCGAAUCCUUGGUCACUCACGACGAUCAGCUGUCGGUGGAAAGCGAACUGACCAGCCCGGCCUCGAAACCAGAUGACUUCAACCCGGAGGAACACUACAUGCCGAUGGCACCGAGGAAGGCGAUUCUGGACCCGUCGAACGAGCGUCCAAAUUCAAAGAUGAUGGAGAGCCUCUUCGCGAGUCUGGACCACGAAGAAAAUUCUUACGUCGAAAUGAGCCAGAACGGCAUCGGGCACUCACUUCUCGCACCCGAUGAUCAAGACCGGAAACACGACUCCGGUGAUUACUCGACUCUCGAUCCUCCCCACUACGAGUUCGUAUGUGUUGCUGACAAUAAAAUGGAGCCGGUCUACAUGGAGGUCAGCCAGCUUGCUGACAAGGAGGACACCGAGUCGUCGGGGAAAAAAGCCAAGACGAAGAGAGACUCGGGAAAUGACGUUCUUCCGCCGAGGCCCGACCUUCCGGACAUCCUGACUGCCCUCAAAUCCGACAGUUCCGACGCUGACGACGAGUCAUCCAAGGACCUCGACUCCCUCGACGCUCCUCGGCAUCCUCGGUUCAGUCUCUCCGACACCUUUCGCCCGGCCUCGUAUUACUUGGGAGCCAGCCAGGCGCUCAUUGCCGAGCUCCACGACUCGUCGGACAGUGAACUUGUUUCGCCACCGCCGAUCCCGACCUCAUUGCCACCCCUGGACGACCUCGAUUCCCUCGAGAUUCAAGACUCCUUAGGCGAAGCGAAGAAGGUCGCGCCUCAGGUGGCAGCGAGUCGGGACAGCCUAAACAGCAGGGACUCACCAAAGUCCUGGAACAAGCCCGCGGGUCAAGUCGAGACGCACAGACCACCCUCGAGGUUCUCCGAUACUACGAUAAGCUCGACCUUCCGCGACAGUCGAAUGUCGCUCGAGAGUGCCUCGGGCAGCGAUUCUGUGGAGCUUAGAAGCCCCGAGGAGGAGGCCAGGCACCGUCAGAUGAAGCGACGCCCGGUAAGCGACGAGGUCUGCGAGGUCCUCGACAGUCUGGACGAGCUCGAGUCCCUUGGGAGCCGUUUCGACGGGGCAAGUAUCGACCUGGAUCAGUACCUCGAGGAACUCCAGGCCCGGGACGCGUUCAACGUUGAUCUGUACGCAAAGGACCUGAGCUACAACAGCAUAUACGGAUUGAACGAGUCGAUGCUCGCCACGGAUAAACACCUGCGAAAAACAACGAGUCAGGAAAUAUCCGGCAAGGGUAAUCUCCCCUCGUACAACACCCUGGAUCAGCCUUACCAGUACGGUGCCAGAACGAAGACGAGCUCGGCCAGCAGUCUGCCGUCGAUGAGGGUCAGCGACCUACCCCCGAUGCAUCAGCACUCCCAGUCCUUCACCGGCGACGUUCACUACGAGAACGUGGUCAGCUUUUCAACGCUCCGCAGUUCCCCCGGCGUUCGUUCAGAGCACGGCGACGGUUCUAAACCGGGGGAAAAUUACCGCGGUCAGAAGAUACCGUCCCAUCAGCGACCCAGCCCCUUGAUUUCUCACAGCAGAGACUCCAGCUACUCUCUAAUAUCCGGAAAUGCUUCGGUAUCCACUUCCGUUGCCUGCCAACGACCCAGUAGCGCUCAGUCAUCCUCCGUCAUGUCGCAGAUGGGCUCCGUUUCCCCAUCCGCGCCUGGUAACGGCAUUCCAAACGCUUCGUACUUCGAGCAGAAUCGCCGAUCGCAGGGGCGACACUCCCGCGAAACGAGCCAGGACUCGGCCCGCUUCUCUUUAUCGCCGAAUCACAGAUCAUCCGCGAGUCAGGACUCGGGUCAGUACCCAGCGUCCACUUCCACCGUCAAGCUCAGCCCCCAGUCCGCGUACUACAACGCGAGCCAGGUGCAGAACGACCAGAACGGGGCGCCGUACUACUACAGCGACCUGCAGGCCGGUGUGAGCGGAAUAGACGCGCUGAUCAACCGCAACUCGGCCUCCUCGAGGCUUCCGCAGCUAAACAAUCAACGCGGGGACGCGGCCUUAGCGGCCAACAAGAGGAACGACAUCGGUCGCAUGGUGAAUCCCAUUCCGAGACAGAUGCCGCGGCAGAUACAGGUCGAGGACAUCGACGAGGCCAGGCGGAUUGCCGCGGAACUUAGGAAGUCCAGCACCCAGUUUCUCGCUGAGAAGAAAGCCGGGCUUUUUCAGGUCGACAAGCGGAACAUAUAUGAGGCCGACACCCUCAGGAGGGUCAAGUCGACCGACCCUCUACCUGACGUCUCCAUGAUCCCGGACCUCAACUCGCGGAACAUUUACCCGCACGGUAUCCGCGAUAAGACGCAAGAUGAGCCCAACACAACACCGAGCGGAUCACGUUUUCAGGUGGAAAUCGGCACCCGGUACGCCGCUCAUCGGAGGUCAAGGUCGCUCGAAGGCCUUCUGGACGAUGCCGAGCUACAGAAUCUGGUCGAGCAGAGGUACGGCACCGGGCAAAUGAUCGGCUCGAGGCAACAGCGGGAAACCACGGUCCAUCCUUCGCCCGUGCACAACCAGAACAGAUUCAACGGCGAGGAUCCCUGGGAGCAGGACUCGCUGUGGAGGGAGAGUCUGCGCAGGGUCAGCCUGAGGCACGCGAGAUCCCUCGACAAUUUGGAAGCCUCCGUCGGUCCGUCCGCUGUUCAAGAUGGGCGGAUAGCCGGAGCGCAGGGGUCGAAGGGUCGAGCGCGUAUCACGAGGGGCGCGACCUACGUGAACGACAGCGUGAUUCUGCGGAGGGAAGCCUCGGAGGUGGCCGGGGAGAGUCACAGGAUGCGAAGAAGACAGGCUGCCGCGAAAGACCGGGAUCAAAGCGAAGCGCAGGGAAUGCAACGUGGGGAGGAAGUCGACGAGGGUCGAAGAGAGGAAGAGGAGGCGGAGGAAGGGAAUCCGGGGCCCGAAGAAGAGACCUACGAGAGGCUGGCCAUGGACAGAAUUGGCGUCGGCGGUUACAUCUGGGACUCGGAGAACGAGGCGUACCGGAAACCGGGGACUGCAGCGGCGGCUGUCCUCCAGCAACGCGACACUGAGCAUGAUAAUCGGCAGAAUUUUUUAGCCGAAGGCAACCUUCCCCCAGCUCCGGCGAUGGCGGAGGCGUCACGCGGGUCUACGGCAACGUCCGGUUCGUUCGAAAUCGACCGGGAGAAGCUGCGUCAGUGGGACCUGCUCUCGAGCGCCUGCUUACUCCAGGAACAGCAACGGACGUCAAUGUCGGAGUCGGGGCGAGGGUUGCCGACGACAGCAACGAGCAGGCAAGAAGACGGAUCGGCGCCGGCGCGACACCAGGAGUCGACGGCAGACUCGACGAUCCCAAUCGCGAACGAAACUUCGGGUGUUUUAACGUUCGAUACGCGCCGUGUCCCGCCCGGUCAUCCGGACGCCAACGAGGCCCAGGGCCAGGACGACGGGACGACGGUUACUCGCGGAGCGGCGACGACGGACGGCUCCAGCAGUGCAAACGGUACAGCCUCCGGGUCGGGAUCGGUGAUCGGACGAGACCCCCUGCCACCCAGAGCCAUCAGCACGUCUCAGCUACCCCAGAGAACGCUGACGCAGCCUCCUCUUCCACGAGGAAACGCGCACCACCCGGCGCAUCCGGUUCAGCAAACGACACUUCCGGUCACCCGCCCGUUAGAACGUACCGCCGCCGCUAGCCUAGCCGAUAUCAGGAUCACCUUUGCCGGGGAGGCGAGAAUCACGUCGCCAGGAAACGGCCAGUUGAAGCAGCAGCACCAGGACCAGUCCGCUCAGCGCAGGAUGGCCGGACCCUUGAGGGUUAUUUCCCCUAAUGGACACAGGGUUUCCAGUCCGAACGAGAGCGAGUCCCAUUCGCGCAGUCCAAGCGAGCGAACAAUCGGCAGUCCUGUCGGUCGAGAUAUCGAGAGAAUUGAACGGGGGGGCGGAAGCGGUGUCGACGUAAAUGGUCACGGCAGGCAAAACCAUUGCAGUGCCAACAAUCGGGACAACAAUGAGCUUCUGAACAAAAGGCUAGAAACGCAGAGAAGCCGUCUGGACAAAUCGUUGACGUUUACUUCUGGCGAAAAUCCUCACCGAGGUGGAAAAGGAUCAGGAGGUGACCUGGUCCAGGUUUCAGCCGGAGAAUUGCUGGGUCGAACCCACGAGGAAUUGGUUUUGCUACUGAUCCAGCUACGCCGGCAAAGUGCAACGCUCUGCAAAGCCAUGGAGACUUGUCACGUCGAAAUUGAAUCUCAGGCCAGACUAGCUGAACUUGAUACACCCAGACGUCUCGAGAAUUUGCAAAAGCUCGAGGAACUCAAGAAGCAUCUAAUGGAUUUGGAAAAACAGUACGAGAAAGGCAAGCCGAUGGUUAACCUUGUUGACAAUAUGGUGAAGCUUGGCUCGUUAUACAACCGCGGUACGACGACUAACGGUACCGGUGGAGUGUCGAGUUCCCGUCACGACCUCGUCCAGGAGAAGACUAGGGAAGUACGAGAUCGUCUGGAGUUUAAUCAGCGUGUCCAAGAGCAGCGACUCCUGGCCGAGGAACGUCGGGACUGGGACAGGCUGAGUCCCGAUCACGGACAGCUCCAGGCAAAGGUUCAGCAGCUUUACAAGUUGGAUCGGUUACUCCAGGAGGAAUCCGGGACGCUGCACAGUCUCCAACAGGACAAGGAAAUAUUGGAAAAGGCUCUGGGCGGAUUGAGGAACAAACUUCAGGGGAGCAGGAGCAAUCCGGCCGAAGUGGAGCGCUACCGGAAACAGCAGCUACUUCUCGAGCGGGAAUUGAGCAGAGUCAGAUUGCUGCUUGCCCACAACUCGAAGAAACUCGAGGAGACCGUGGCUGAAAACGCUCGCCUCGAACAGGAACUCGUCGUCCUGAGACAAAAGCUUCAGGCGUCCCGACGGUACGCCGGAAACGUGACCAGGGAUCCCUCGGGAACAACUGCCGCCCUUGAGGCUGAGCUUAGACGAGUUCAACAGCUGGUCGGCGACCUGCAGCGACAACGUCAGGAACUUAGCAUUCAGGUCCGUCAGUUGACGGAAAAGUCGCACAGCCUUGUGCAGCAGAUACGACCGCAGCAUGUGACUUCUCCGCAGGUUCAUCACCAUCGGUCGAAGAAACGCAGCCACAGUUCUUGGCUCGAGACCGACCUUGACUCGGGGAUGACGCUGGACCAUGGAUUGGACUCGCCGACGAGCUCCGUUCCUUCCGGCUCGCCAGGCAUCCGGCAAAACGGAAGUCCCCAUCAGCAUCAGCACAGCGCUUCCUCUCCCCAGUACAAGGACCCCCCGCCGGUACCUUACAAAGAGCACAAUAUCGGCGUGGGUUCGACGCAGCACAAUGCUCAGACGUACUACAACCAUUCGUCUCAUAACCAGCAGCCCCAGCAUUACCAUCGAGUAUCUGCCCACUCGCCCCAAAGCCAAAUAUCCGCAUUGUCGCCCCAGCUUCGCGAACAGAUCCAUCAGCAUCAGCUGAAACAGCAACAACUCCGGGACCAGAUGCAGGGCAAGGGAAGUCCUGUGCAGAACAAUGUCCCAGGACCGCUUUACGUCAAUACUGAUUCCAGGAGACAAGACUCAACGAAAUACCUUGAGUCUAACUCCGGCAACCCUCCAGCUCCACCUCCAGAAUACGUGCCGCCACCACCACCUCCGCCAUCCGAAGAAGCGCUUCUUAAUGGAAAUUAUGCGCAAAACGAUGAAAGCAAAUUCAGUGGCCUGAUGCAUGGACGUGAAAAACAGGAGAUAAAAACUGUGCGAAUAGUGAAACGGGAAUCCGAACGACGGCAAAGGGAUCGAGGCGACCGGACGGGAAAUAUUGGGAUUCCGUUGACGAACGGAUUGCAGGUACCAGGAAGCGCGAAGAGGCUGAACGAGGAUGACUUCGGAGGCUCGCAACAGUUUGAGAAAUCUCAGCUGGACAGGGUGAUGGAGGAGUCAGCGGCAAUGAUUCACGCCCAGAGCAGCGUUCAGCUUUCGGAAAUGGACGACGUGCAAUUCCAGCGCAGCAUGUCCCUCCCACGGGGAUUUGGCGGGCAGCGACCACAGCCAGGAAUUCAUCAGGGUCCGGUGCCGGCGCCACCGCGAAGUGACAGUAUGAACGCCCUCAGGAACAUGAUGGUCCGCCGCCACAGAGUACGGUUUGAGAACCAAGACGGAAGCUCGGACAGCACAUUAUCGCCUCACACAGAGAGUCCAAAUUCUGGCUCCCAAAUGGCGACGAUGAGUUCGCCGAAUUACUCGAUCAGCCCUCCGUACAGUCCGAGUCAUCAGAACUAUUCGCCUAUUCAAUACUCUCGAGGCGGAAGUGGCGCGAGCGGGAUUUCCGGCCAGGGGAUGCCGGUGCCCUCCCAAUAUUAUCCUCAACCCGCCGUUCCUCCAGGGACGAGCUUCGCGAUAUCCUCGAAUCCUGGCAGUCCGGUCGCCACUUCGCCUCCAACCGCCCACGAGAGGCUUUUCGGAUCGGCAGCAAGCAUCAACAGUCUUCGUGAUUCACCCCAGCUCUCUCCCGUAUUCAAAAGCGAAGCCGCGAGGCAGAUCAUCAAGGAAAUGGCCGAGAAGAGGUCCGAGGGACCAAGGAGAAGGCCCGUGCCUAAAGAAAAGAGGCGACACUACACGGUGUCCAGCAGCAAACCGAUUCUCGAUCUCGAGGACACCUUUUCCAAGAUGGGAAUGGGUCGCGCGAGAGACGAUCUUGACAUGGAACGAGCUUUGAGGCCGCGUAUCAAUGCUCCUGACGUGGUCAGGUCGACCCUCAGCCACAAAGAGCUGAAAUACAACGAGAGCACGAUUGACAACCUGCUUGGUACACCAAACAAAAUUCUGAUCCCGGAACGCUACAUUCCGGAACAGACUCCGGAGCUAAGUGCAGAGGAGCAGGAACACCGUCUUAAGAAGGCUGAAUCAAUUAGAAAGAUGCUAUCUGAGACGACGGUGACAGCGCCCGAAAAUCCUGAGGAAGAAGUUGAUCAGCAAAAGUCAAAUACCUUGAAGAAAAAAGUUGCUGAAGAAAAACGACAAAGAGAACAUAUAUUACAGCUUAAUCAAAUUCUAGCUAAGCAAGUUAUGGAGAAGAGUAAGAUGGUUGCUGGUAACCAGGCGCACUGACAUCACAUGCUUCCAUCUCCAUGUAGGACUACUACACACGCCACAUUAUAUGUUUUCAGUGAAAGCACUGGCAACGCUUCCGUUGGCGCCAUCAGAGCCAAGCUUCGAAGAAGAUGACCUCUCGCCAGUGACCCCGUUACCCCUUUACCAGCAAAGGGAGAAUUUUUACUCGUAAGCACAAAAUAAGGUAUAGAUAUUGCACGCUGCAUAAUCAAACGUAUUUUAAGUUGGUACAGUCGAAAAGGUACAACAUAAACCCGUACGAAACCGAAGGGAAAUUACUGCCAAUUAUAUAUAUAUAGGAAUAUAUACAUAUAUAUAUUAUAUGGGAAGAAUAACUUGACUAAAAACAUCGCAUAAACUAAAGUUCGACGAAUAAACCGAUAUAUAGUACAUCACUUGUGUAGUACACGUCAAUAAUUAACUAAAUUACGGCUAUAUGUAUAAUUGAAAGAAAAAAGACUUGCUACAAGAGAGGAAACGACGUGUAUCAUAAAAUCAUGUAAUAAAAAUCUAUAUAUGUACAGUAGGUAUACAUAACUACCUAUCUAGGUAACAUGUUAAGAAUUGAGGACAGAAUUUACAUUUGCAAUGAUACGUGCGAAUAAAAGAUAUAUAAUAAAUGUAUAGAAAAAAUUGUUGUUGAAUUCAAAUAUCAAAGGACUGAACUUUUAUCAUCGCGCUAACAAUAAUUUAAUGUAGACACACGAUAUGAGUAAUAUGUGUGUAUGAAAAUAACGUAGAAUUAUCAAUGGUAAUAGUAUACGAAAUUAAAUUCCGACUGCAUACAAAAUCGGCCAGUAUUGAAUCAUUGCACAAAUUUUGGUACAUCGUAACGAAUACCGUUUUCGUUUUUUAAUUGCUUUUACUAUUCUUAAUCUUUUUCUUCUAAACUUCUGGAUCUAAUUACGAUUUUGCGUUUAGAUGAGGUAAAAAUUUUAGCAAUGAAGGUGAGAAAUCACCGCGCCAGUUUUUUUGAGUUGCCUAUAAAUCUUGAAAUUCGAUUUUUCGAUAAUGAAAUAACGAAUAAAUGUACUCGCGAUCACAGCGCGACUUGAAACUUCCUUUAUUACAUUACACAUUUGUAUAUAAUAUAGUAUUCACAAAACUAUUCAUAGAAUCAUGUACGUUAAUUAUUGUACUAUAAUAUUAUUAUUAUUAAACUAACUAUCGAGAUGAUGGAAUACUUCAAAAGCGUAACAAUUCACGUAAAUGAAACGGAGUCUUCUCUUUUUAGUAAUAAAAAUACUAGGAAUGUACGACAAAGCAUUUUUGAAAAUAAUACUACCAUUACUAUGAACCACGUAAUAAUCGCUGUAAUAUUUAAAUGCAUGGAAAAAUCAAAAAACCAAACACGGAAAUCCUUGAAUCGCAGAAAAAUCUAUAGUUAUGAAAGAAAAUGAGGCAAUAAAUAAUAUCGGAAUUAAAUUACUAACAAGUGCCAAGUUUAAUAACCAAUGAAUAUGUACGUGUAGAUCGCAAGUAUUAUUUGAACUUGAAAUUCCAUUCGGAACGAAACUGACCAAUUGUAAUAACUGUAUUAACAUUGAAGAAAAGUAGCUGGAUUAUCGAAUGAAAACGUGACAGGUAUAAUAACAAAUAUCGUGUAACGCGUGGCGUGUAAAACAUGAAAUUUUUCAUCUUUAUUUCCGUAACGGUAUUCUUUUAGUUAUUAUGCGCAAUAAAUAAAGAAAAAAUAGUCUACGUUACGCUUGACGCUUGUGUGUACGAUUAUAUUAACACCGCAUAUAAAUAUAAUAAUUCAUACUUAUAUAUUUACAGUCUUGUAGUAAAUGUUUAAAUAACUAAAUAAUCAAUUAGAACGAAUUCUGAAAUUAUUAUGUACUCGUUUGCUUUCCUAUUCGUCUAUUGGCCGCAUACAACGUCAAUGACUUCGGUACAGCUUUAAAUCUCAUAGCAGCGUACGUCGUUUAAUGAAUACAAAUAUAAUAUAAUUAUAUUAUAACUAUAUUAUAUUAGCAGCGUAUUUUCAAUCUCGUAUUAUUUUCGAGAUUUUUUAAUGUAGCCUGUAAGCAUAUUAAAGCCAGUUGAUACGCCUAAAGUGUCGGUGCAUGCACUGUAUAUAAUAAAUAUACUAUCGGUAAAGCGCGCUGUGAUCAUAACGGUUUUAUUUACAUCACAUUUACAAUUUUUUUAGAAUUUUGUUUUUUAUCAGUUAGUUUUUAAACUGAGUAAUAUUUUAGAAAUUAAGAAUCAAAAUACAACAUAUUUGAUAACGGACUAAUCUGGUAUUGUCAAUUGACACAAUAAUAGCAACUUAUUGCAAUUUUUUCAUACCCUUAUAAAUGUUAUGUAUCAUUCCGUUACACUAUAGAGGGAGUUAAUUGCGGUACACUAUCACCUUCGCUAAAGAAAUACAUUCGAUUUAAUUUAACGAUAUUAAAUUGUUCGUUCGCGCGAUUUACUCAAAUUAUAAUUGUAAAAUUAUCACAAUAACCGCGACUUGCAUCAGCUGUUUAAAAUUAGGUGGUAGACAAUCAAUUUCACUCAUCUAGUGAAAUAACGAAUAUUACAUUCAAAAAGGAUUAUUUUAAUUAUCAUAUUUCCGUUUAAUUUUCGUACUUGUACGUUGUUAUUUCUUCGAAUGCGUAUUACUUUCAACUAUCAAUUAGACAAUAAUAAUAAGUGUAUAUCGAUGUUAGGAUUAUAUAAAUAUAUACAUAUUAGAUAAAAAGUAACAAAUACCGCGAAAGAUAGAGAAAAGAGAAAAUUAAUUUAUAAAAAUUAUAAGGGCAUGUAUACAUAAAAUCGACUUUUAUCGCAGAUUAUAAUUUCUGGGUGAAAAAUAUUGUAGUUAUAUACAUACGUGUAUAUGAAUAUAGAUACAUGAAAAUGAUUAAAUAUUGUAUCAUAAAGUUAUAUUAUAUGUAUGUAACGACGUGUAUCGGUUUCGUAAAAUAGACAUACAAUAACGCAGAGUAUUAUAAUAGAUAUGAAUAUCGUGUAAAUACAAUGAUCGUAUAAUAUAGAGUAGGUGAAUUAACGGUAUAUAAAAAGAUCAAUAUCAAUGAUAUCAUACGUACAUACAUAUGUAUACAUAAAUAUGUAAAUGUAUACAGAUUGCGUGAAAUUUCAACCUACGUCUUUUACUGUUUUUAUUACCUCUCAUUCCGAACUAUGCAUACAGUAAAAUGUACCAAGUAAAUUGCAACAGUGUUUGUCAAUUCAGAGACUUCAAAAUGGAGUAAGAAAUUGCCGCUUCACACAGAAAAUUGAGAGACAGGCAAAGUUGUGAAUAUUACAAAAUACAAAUCAAUAAUGUUUUUUAUUUCCGAAACUCGUCAGUUCUAUUUCCUUUUAUUUGUGAAAACGCGAUUUCGCUACUUUGUAGAUGGCAUGCCUGACCUUUCGCGUACAUAUGUAUACUACGGUAUAUCCGUAGGUAUGCAAAAUAUCAGUAGGUAUUUACAGAUGUAUAGUUAUGGAUACGAUCAAUCCUAUUACGGAUUAUAACGGCAACGCGUCGACAGAUACUGACACAGAAAUAUGUUAUAUAUGAAUCAUAUACAUAUACAUAUAUAUUAAACAACAAAGAAAUAUUCGUUAAUUAUAGUCCGCGUGGUUGAAAUUCUCAAAACUCGAAUGUUCAUAAAUCAUUAUUAUUAUUAUUGUUAUUAUUAUUAUUGUUAUUAUUAAUAUUAUUAUUAUUAUUGUGAGAAACAAAAAAUUGAUCCCCGUUAUACGCUCAAUUAUAUUGUUUUUACGUUACACUGAAAUCUGUUGAUUAUUGCAUAGCUGUAUUAUAAUAUACAUAUACAUAUAUAUUAUACACGACUAUAAUAUUUUUCAGUAUUGGUCAGAGUGUGUAUACAUACUUUAUACCCUCACGGCUGUUUCAUUUCUUCAAAUUUCAUUUUCUUCUAAAAUGAUGUGAAAGAAAUACCUAUAUGCCAAAAGAAACACGCCAAAUAAGCUUGCGGCAGAAAUAAUUAAAAUCGAGAUGGUGCAUCACAACGGUUGAAAAUAAAUUUCCCGUUAUACAUACUCUCCAUAUACUGUUUAACGAGAAAUAAACAAACUGGUUUUUAA
rnacentral:misc_RNA from 1 species